rnacentral:lncRNA from 1 species
GUCUCAGUCCCCUCCUCUGAUCCUCUCCUAAUUUAACAUUCCCUGCCUUUUGUAGAAAAUAAUAGAAGAACAAAAGAAAGAAAACAUUUUCGUUUUUAUCAAACUUGCCACCAUAGAAUUACGACUGCACCUUCAUUCAUCGUUCGAUCACGCUAUUUUUUGGAAAGCAUGAUCACAACAGAUGAUUCUUCAUUUUCAAUGGUCCAAUCAUCAAAAUGAUGUCUGAAGCAAGAGAAAUCGUGUCUGCAUCAUAGCUAUGAGUUGAGGCUUAGAGUUGUGGCGACUUAGGAAUGAAAGCACACAAGGUACGAAGGAAUGAAAUAUGAAGUUGUUUUGUGAUGGAAGCGUACU